UGCUUACAUGCAUUAGUCUAAGAAUGCUUAGAUUGCCUUUAUUUCUUCAAUUAUUUGAAAAGUUAUUUCUCAAGCUAAGAAGAAAUGAGACGAGAAUGUUUUCAUCAUAAGUCAAAUUCUAUAAUGUCAUGUUGAUAACUUCAGUGUUUGCUGGCCAUUUAAAAGGUAACUAAUGGCAUGGUUUAUUGACACCAUUAACUCCAUGUACUUCAGGAAUGUUACUAUUUUGGGGGGACAAAGGUAUUUCAGACCUGAAUUACUAUUGUUAUACCCCAUGCAAACUUUUAAUUGAUUUUUCUAGGCCCACACUGAGCUUCUACGUUGGUAGCAAGAUUUUUGUGGGUGUCUGGACACAGGAUUGCACCAUCUCACCUAAAAUACGACUUCUCAAAAAUUGUAGACCAGUGUUGUCGGCGGAGCAUGAUGCUGGGGAAGGCACUCUGCUGAAACCUUGUCCGUAAGCGCAUCCUCUACGCUGGGACAGAGACUUUCCCAGAUGAGAAGGCGGAAAAAGAAGAUUCGGGAGGACAUAUGUAAUGAGUUAAUGUGUGCCUCCAAGAGUGACAAGACAAAGCUCAGCGCAUGGAGGAUUGCAUUGUCAGAGAGCCUACACAAUGACCAUGAGGACAGAAGAGCAUACGGGGAACACGAGUGUGACACGCGGGAUGAGAUGGUAUGGGUGAUGAGGGAGCAAUCAGACAUGUUGAGGUUCAAGAAAGGCAGCUGGACGCUAGAGUCCCGCUGCAGCAUAUGGUGAACCUGCUGCCAUCAUCACCAAGUUCCACAUCCUUCUGCGCUUGUUUUUCCCGUCCCUCCCCCGCCCCCCCAGUGUUAUCAGCCCUUUCCCCCCCAGGUUAUCUUCCUUUUCUUUGCUGUCUCUGUGUUUGUGAGCAUAAUAAAAAUGAAUGGAUUGAGGAGAAAAGGUUCUUUAUUCAUUCAGCACACAGCAGCUAGCAGGGCUGUAGUUUACAGGGGAGUACAUGCAAUGAAGGGGACAGCUAGGUAAGGAACAACACACAAGUGUCAUGUUACUGUGGGUCAUUGAUCAAACUAGUUUUCAAAGCCUCACCGAGAUGCAGCACACCUCAGUGUGCUCUUAUUGACCUGGUGUCUGGCUGCUCAAAAUUGGCUGCCAUGCAAUCUGCCACCCCCACCC